UCUUCACUUGCACCAAUAUCAGCCUUCCCUCAAACUAUGAGAUGCUCAAGAAAAAGCAUGAGGCAGCCAUGUUGGAGGUACCCCCACAGCUUGCUGCCGUAAAGUCCACCAUUUUCAACAUCCACAGUAAGACCUCUGUGUCCACCAUGUUGCCUGGUCCCUGUUCAACACACUCUUCAUCAAUUGCUGCUUCCUGAGACUUGUCACAUAAAAUUAACCCAUGAAGUCUAGGGACCAAAAGAUGGCAGGCCAUGUGACUGGGCCCAGACUUAUAUCUCCAUUGAUAAGUGUGUGAACAUCAGUGACCUGUUCUUUGGCAUCCUUCUGACCACUAGAUUCAUCAGAUUUUGGGUCACUGAUU
rnacentral:lncRNA from 1 species